rnacentral:rRNA from 1 species
GACGUAGGGCGCGAGCGUUGUCCGGAUUUAUUGGGCGUAAAGAGCUCGUAGGCGGUCUGUCGCGUCGGAUGUGAAAAUCCAGGGCUCAACCCUGGACCUGCAUUCGAUACGGGCAGACUAGAGUUCGGUAGGGGAGACUGGAAUUGCCUGGUGUAGCGGUGAAAUGCGCAGAUAUCAGGAGGAACACCGGUGGCGAAGGCGGGUCUCUGGGCCGAAACUGACGCUGAGGAGCGAAAGCGUGGGGAGCGAACAGG